rnacentral:rRNA from 1 species
GAUGAACGCUGGCGGCGUGCCUAAUACAUGCAAGUCGAGCGAACGGACGAGAAGCUUGCUUCUCUGAUGUUAGCGGCGGACGGGUGAGUAACACGUGGAUAACCUACCUAUAAGACUGGGAUAACUUCGGGAAACCGGAGCUAAUGCCGGAUAAUAUUUUGAACCGCAUGGUUCAAAAGUGAAAGACGGUCUUGCUGUCACUUAUAGAUGGAUCCGCGCUGCAUUAGCUAGUUGGUAAGGUAACGGCUUACCAAGGCAACGAUGCAUAGCCGACCUGAGAGGGUGAUCGGCCACACUGGAACUGAGACACGGUCCAGACUCCUACGGGAGGCAGCAUUAGGGAAUCUUCCGCAAUGGGCGAAAGCCUGACGGAGCAACGCCGCGUGAGUGAUGAAGGUCUUCGGAUCGUAAAACUCUGUUAUUAGGGAAGAACAUAUGUGUAAGUAACUGUGCACAUCUUGACGGUACCUAAUCAGAAAGCCACGGCUAACUACGUG